rfam:Morus notabilis contig7065, whole genome shotgun sequence.
UACCCAUGGUGAGGACACAGAUUUAACAAAUCUUUAAAAUGCUCAUAAGCUUGAUAAAGAGUUUCAUUUUCCUUCUGAAAGAAAGUCGAGAUCUAUUGUUUCAAAUU